CCCUCCCCACCUAUCCAAUCGUCCUCUUGCUCCGACUCCAGGCCAUGAGCUACUCCCCGCCAAUGGCUCCGCCCCGCGCCUCCUCACGGCUGUGCCGCGGGCGAUGUGCGCUGUCCCCGGCUGCACGUCCCUUUCCUCCUCCCGGCAAUGCGCCGCUCGCCUCCUCCCGCCCACAUGCCCCAGUGACUCCUCCCUGCUCGACUCCCGGCGAGUCGUGCCGCCCCCGGUCACGUUGGGACACACCUCCUCCCGGCUCCAUCUCCUCCUUGCCGUCUCCUACUGGUGAAAGCUUCGUCUCUUACUUUGGUUGAGGGUCUGAUAAUGGACGUAAGACAGCUGUUGGAUAGGAGAUUAAAAUAUGGAAGAUAGAAGCAGACGAGGUAGCUGAAGCUGGUAGAUCAAUUGAGCAAGAGCCCCAGAUCCAGGUGUGUUUAUAAUGAGUUGUUUGUAAGACCAAUGCUACAUGGUUCCACUCGGAGUCUCUGUAGUUAUUUGGCUGAUGGUGUGCAUGAGUUUGAGCUAUUUAUUAUUUUGUAGUUCUGACUUUAGAACCAUGGAAGUUUUCCCUCUUUUAUAAAUAACUUCAUGUGGAAAAGUAUUCUUUUCGAGGGAAACAAGGUUAAGAAUUGGCAUUAGUGGUUGGCAGUGAUGAUGAGUUCGCAUUUUAUACCAGCUAGCAAGACUUCACAGAAAUUUGUUAGAGGAAUUGCAAUAUAUUUAUCAAACUUUAUUUUUCUCAUUCCUUUUUGGUUUUAGACAAGAAUAACAGAGAAUCUCAAUGCUUCUACUGAUGCAGUACCUGUAGUAGAGCAUUAUUUAUACUUUGUCACUGCAAAUAAAUAUGGCAAGUGAAAUUGACAUUAUUGCUGUAGGUAUGCCAUUGUCAUCGUACCUUGGUACAAGAACUGAUGAAGGUUUUAAUAGCGUAAGAGUAUGGGAAGCAAAAAACUGAAUCGUCUGUGGUACAGUAACAUUUUGGAGGAUGUGGGUUUACGCAUUCGCUAUAUCCAGAAUUGUUUCUUCGCAUUGGGAUAAAACUAAUGAAGUUAGUUUCAAAGAUGCACAUAAUUAAAGAACGGAAUAUAUAGUAGCAGAAAUAAAGUGAGGACAGGUAUAUACAAUAGCAAAAAGACCAAGCAGCCUGGUUGCUCUUUCAUUUAAGUGGAUGGAUGCGUGCAUGAGUUCUUUGUAGGGGACAAGUCACGUUUUGAAACUAAAGCUAUAUACAACACUCUUUUAGGGAUUAAUGAACUGUUAGUAGCAGAGUCCUUCCUGUGUGAAAGCUAAUACAUUUCUAUGGUAACCAUAUCUCGGUGCCUACAAUUCUAUAAUCUUCUUUUUGUGAAACGAUGAAACCCGAAGUAUUUCUACGUAUUUGCAUUUCUCUCUAAGGCAGGAAGCUUAUUUUGCAGGCAUUUAUGUCAUGAGCCACUUAAUGUGCAACUGAGUGCACACUGUUAUCCUAAUUUUAUUGGUCUAUCUGAGAUGUUUCCUUCUGGUAUUGCAAUAUGUGCUAGGUAAUACUCACAGUUAUAUUUUUACCCUGAACUUACUAACCUAGCUUUGGUUUCUCAGGCUUAAACUAAUCUGGCAGCAGGGUAUCAUGUGCCCGCUCACCUGUUGGUGCGCGGCUGGUGGAUACGGAGAGAUCGGCGAUGAGGAGACCCUCGCCGUCCUUCUGAUUGCCCUCAGUUGCGGGAUGUGAUGGCGGAGUUGUUCUGCAACUGCCCAGGGGUCAUGGAAGAUGGAGAACUUCCUAACGCAGUAUGCGAGCGGGGACGACAGAGAACUUCCUGGCACAGUGUGCCCGCGAGUGGGUUUCAAGACAGUUCAUGGUACAAGGUCAAGCUCAGCUUGGAAAAAGUGGAGCAGCUGCGUGAAGAGGUUGAUUAAUUGAAGGAAAUCAUCGAGAAGCUAUUACUAUCUUUCAUGCAUUUCAUGUGUAAAAGUAAUUUGGAAGGAUGCAUGGAUUCGAUAGAUUAUGGAUUAACACAGCUUAUGUGUGUCCAUGGAUUGGAGAGAAUAUGAAUACACAUGUAACUAUAGCUUCAUUGCCCACUUAUUUUAGAUUUUUAUGCAGUUUUUGUUGCUUAAAGUUUUAUAUUAAUCUAAUCCCAUUGCAACGCACGGGCAUUUUUGCUAGUAAA